UUUGUGUGAUGGUCUUCAAGAAUCUUCAUCUCUGGGAUUGGUGUCUGGAGCAGCUGGUGUUUUACUGAGAAGUGCAGUGCCAGAAGAUGUGACUUCUAUCUAUGCAUUGCCAACCGUUCAACUUGGCCUUAGAAACGGGGCACUCAUACAUUCUUACAUAAAUCUAACAAGUAAUCCCACUGCUACUAUAUUUAAGAGUAAUGAAGGUAAAGACUCAGUAGCCCCUUACAUAGCUUCAUUCUCAUCUAGAGGACCAAAUGCAAUCACUCCAAACAUUCUUAAGGUAAUAUA
rnacentral:sRNA from 1 species